rnacentral:rRNA from 1 species
CAGUCGUACCGGCGGAUAAUCAGCCUUUCGGGUGCGAUUCUGUGGGGCGUGAGGAGCUUAACCGCCUUCAUGUUUUGCAUAUUCGUGCACAUUUGGUGUACUUGUCCGUGUGGUGGGUUAACAUCAAUUUUGGUGGUCAUAAAAUGAUUGGAGGAAUGUAGCUUUGGUCUCGUAUCGAAGUGUUAUAGACUCUGGUAGAUGUGACGAUUGGGAUUGGAGGUAUUGCAACGGAUACCCCUUCGGGGGCUACCCGUCUGAUCUCUGAAGGUUGCUCCGGUACGAAAGCGUGCUUAUGGUCAUCGAAAGUG